GAUGAACGCUGGCGGCGUGCCUAAUACAUGCAAGUCGAGCGAACGGACGAGAAGCUUGCUUCUCUGAUGUUAGCGGCGGACGGGUGAGUAACACGUGGAUAACCUACCUAUAAGACUGGGAUAACUUCGGGAAACCGGAGCUAAUACCGGAUGAUAUUUUGAACCGCAUGGUUCAAAAGUGAAAGACGGUCUUGCUGUCACUUAUAGAUGGAUCCGCGCGGCAUUAGCUAGUUGGUAAGGUAACGGCUUACCAAGGCAACGAUGCAUAGCCGACCUGAGAGGGUGAUCGGCCACACUGGAACUGAGACACGGUCCAGACUCCUACGGGAGGCAGCAGUAGGGAAUCUUCCGCAAUGGGCGAAAGCCUGACGGAGCAACGCCGCGUGAGUGAUGAAGGUCUUCGGAUCGUAAAACUCUGUUAUUAGGGAAGAACAUAUGUGCAAGUAACUGUGCACAUCUUGACGGUACCUAAUCAGAAAGCCACGGCUAACUACGUG
rnacentral:rRNA from 1 species